CUGGCUCAGGAUGAACGCUAGCGGCAGGCCUAACACAUGCAAGUCGAGGGGCAUCGGGAGUAGCAAUACUGCCGGCGACCGGCGCAAGGGUGCGUAACGCGUGAGCAACAUGCCCGUAUCAGGGGGAUAAUCCAUGGAAACGUGGUCUAAUACCCCAUAGUAAUUAUGUAAGGCAUCUUAUAUAAUUUAAAGCUUUGGUGGAUACGGAUUGGCUCGCGUGACAUUAGCUAGAUGGUAAGGUAACGGCUUACUAUGGCUACGAUGUCUAGGGGUUCUGAGAGGAAGGUCCCCCACACUGGAACUGAGACACGGUCCAGACUCCUACGGGAGGCAGCAGUGAGGAAUAUUGGACAAUGGAUGGAAAUCUGAUCCAGCCAUGCCGCGUGCCAGGAAGACGGCCCUAUGGGUUGUAAACUGCUUUUGUAUGGGAGCAAUAAGGGCUACGCGUAGUCCGAUGAGAGUACCAUACGAAUAAGCACCGGCUAACUCCGUGCCAGCCGCGGC
rnacentral:rRNA from 1 species